AUUGAACGCUGGCGGUAUGCUUAACACAUGCAAGUCGAACGGCAGCAUUUUCUAGCUUGCUAGAAAGAUGGCGAGUGGCGAACGGGUGAGUAACGCGUAGGAAUAUACCUUAAAGGGUGGGACAACUUGGGGAAACUCAAGCUAAUACCGCAUGAGCUCUUAGGAGGAAAGCUGGGGACCGCGAGGCCUGGCGCUUUAAGAAUAGCCUACGUCCGAUUAGCUAGUUGGUAGGGUAAGGGCCUACCAAGGCGACGAUCGGUAGCUGGUCUGAGAGGAUGGUCAGCCACACUGGAACUGAGACACGGUCCAGACUCCUACGGGAGGCAGCAGUGGGGAAUAUUGGACAAUGGGGGGAACCCUGAUCCAGCAAUGCCGCGUGUGUGAAGAAGGCCUGAGGGUUGUAAAGCACUUUCGGUGGGGAGGAGGUUAUAUAGGUUAAGAGCUGAUAUAAUGGACGUUACCCACAGAAGAAGCACCGGCUAACUCCGUGCCAGCCGCCGCCGUAA
rnacentral:rRNA from 1 species